ACCCUGUGCCCCAAAACGCUGUUCAGACGCUCCCUGAGCUCCGCUAGCUUUGAUGCCCUGCGGAGCGUGGUCCAGUGCCCGAUCACCCUGUGGGAAAAAUCAUCAAGCUGCCAGUGGAAGAUGGCAAUCCAAAGGUGUCAGGAAAUCGGGUCAUAAGAGAGUUCAAGAUGCUGUUCCCAAAAUGGAGAACAGAACUUGAGGACAUCACGUGCCUUGGACAGAGAUACUCACAAUCCCUUCCUGCAAGGAGAAUCCUGACCCAGUUCUGCAGCUUUUAACUCACUGAACCAUCUCUCCACUGACUCCCAUGGAUGCUGAAUCAAGCCUGGAAGUGACUUUAAAGAAUUCCUGGUGGUUGAAGGUUAAACAAAAACCUAUUUUACAACUGAUCUGACCUAUACAUCCAUUCUCAGUGUUUUUCUUUGCUAAUGACAUAUACAUGCUUAUAUACAACAG